GAUCCGGCUCAGGAUGAACGCUAGCUACAGGCUUAACACAUGCAAGUCGAGGGGCAGCAUGUUGGUUGCUUGCAACCAACGAUGGCGACCGGCGCACGGGUGAGUAACGCGUAUCCAACCUUCCGCAUACUCGGGAAUAGCCUUUCGAAAGAAAGAUUAAUGCCCGAUGGUUUCCCGAAUCCGCAUGAGAGCGGGUAUAAAGAUUCAUCGGUAUGCGAUGGGGAUGCGUCCCAUUAG
rnacentral:rRNA from 1 species